rnacentral:rRNA from 1 species
GAAGAAAGCUUGCUUUCUUUGCUGACGAGCGGCGGACGGGUGAGUAAUGCCUAGGGAACUGCCCAGUCGAGGGGGAUAACAGUUGGAAACGACUGCUAAUACCGCAUACGCCCUACGGGGGAAAAGAGGGGACCUUCGGGCCUUCUGCGAUUGGAUGUACCUAGGUGGGAUUAGCUAGUAGGUGAGGUAAUGGCUCACCUAGGCGACGAUCCCUAGCUGUUCUGAGAGGAUGAUCAGCCACACUGGGACUGAGACACGGCCCAGACUCCUACGGGAGGCAGCAGUGGGGAAUAUUGCACAAUGGGCGCAAGCCUGAUGCAGCCAUGCCGCGUGUGUGAAGAAGGCCUUCGGGUUGUAAAGCACUUUCAGCGAGGAGGAAAGGUUAAGUGUUAAUAGCACUUAGCUGUGACGUUACUCGCAGAAGAAGCACCGGCUAACUUCGUGCCAGCAGCCGCGGUAAUACGAGGGGUGCAAGCGUUAAUCGGAAUUACUGGGCGUAAAGCGUACGCAGGCGGUUUGUUAAGCGAGAUGUGAAAGCCCCGGGCUCAACCUGGGAACUGCAUUUCGAACUGGCAAACUAGAGUCUUGUAGAGGGGGGUAGAAUUUCAGGUGUAGCGGUGAAAUGC